rnacentral:misc_RNA from 1 species
UUGCGGCUGGAUCACCUCCUUUCUAGAGUACGCGCCGGAAGUCAGGCGUCCACACUUAUCGGUUGGUUCUUGCAGCAGCGAGUGGCGCAGGGGCGCGCUGGUCGUGAGUCUUAGCGUCGCGCACCGCCGGCCCUGCCGAGACAAAAGCGGAAGGGUCUGUAGCUCAGCCGGUUAGAGCACCGUCUUGAUAAGGCGGGGGUCGUUGGUUCGAUUCCAACCAGACCCACCACACUCGGUGCAGGUGCUUUACCGGGGGUGUAGCUCAGUUGGGAGAGCGCCUGCUUUGCAAGCAGGAGGUCAUCGGUUCGAUCCCGUUCACCUCCACCACUUCUCGCUCCAUCGUCAAACGAAAGUCCGCUCGGCGGCCUUCCGUUUGGCC